UCGAGCGAGUCUGCCUUGAAGAUCGGAGUGCUUGCACUCUGUGAAACAAGAUACAGGCUAGCGGCGGACGGGUGAGUAACACGUGGGUAACCUGCCCAAGAGAUCGGGAUAACACCUGGAAACAGAUGCUAAUACCGGAUAACAACAGAUGAUGCCUAUCAACUGUUUAAAAGAUGGUUCUGCUAUCACUCUUGGAUGGACCUGCGGUGCAUUAGCUAGUUGGUAGGGUAACGGCCUACCAAGGCGAUGAUGCAUAGCCGAGUUGAGAGACUGAUCGGCCACAUUGGGACUGAGACACGGCCCAAACUCCUACGGGAGGCAGCAGUAGGGAAUCUUCCACAAUGGACGCAAGUCUGAUGGAGCAACGCCGCGUGAGUGAAGAAGGGUUUCGGCUCGUAAAGCUCUGUUGUUGGUGAAGAAGGACAGGGGUAGUAACUGACCUUUGUUUGACGGUAAUCAAUUAGAAAGUCACGGCUAACUACGUGCCAGCAGCCGCGGUAAUACGUAGGUGGCAAGCGUUGUCCGGAUUUAUUGGGCGUAAAGCGAGUGCAGGCGGCUCGAUAAGUCUGAUGUGAAAGCCUUCGGCUCAACCGGAGAAUUGCAUCAGAAACUGUCGAGCUUGAGUACAGAAGAGGAGAGUGGAACUCCAUGUGUAGCGGUGAAAUGCGUAGAUAUAUGGAAGAACACCGGUGGCGAAGGCGGCUCUCUGGUCUGUUACUGACGCUGAGGCUCGAAAGCAUGGGUAGCGAACAGGAUUAGAUACCCUGGUAGUCCAUGCCGUANACGAUGAGUGCUAAGUGUUGGGAGGUUUCCGCCUCUCAGUGCCGCAGCUAACGCAUUAAGCACUCCG
rnacentral:rRNA from 1 species